rnacentral:rRNA from 1 species
GGCCAAGUUUUUAAGGGCGCACGGUGGAUGCCUUGGCACCAGGAACCGAUGAAGGACGUGGGAGGCCACGAUAGUCCCCGGGGAGCCGUCAACCAGGCUUUGAUCCGGGGGUUUCCGAAUGGGGAAACCCGGCAGUCGUCAUGGGCUGUCACCCGCUGCUGAACACAUAGGCAGUGUGGAGGGAACGAGGGGAAGUGAAACAUCUCAGUACCCUCAGGAAGAGAAAACAACCGUGAUUCCGGGAGUAGUGGCGAGCGAAACCGGAUGAGGCCAAACCGUAUGCGUGUGAUACCCGGCAGGGGUUGCGCAUACGGGGUUGUGGGAUUGCACUUUCAUGGUCUGCCGGCCAUGAGGCGAGUCAGAAACCGUUGAUGUAGGCGAAGGACAUGCGAAAGGUCCGGCGUAGAGGGUAAGACCCCCGUAGCUGAAACAUCAACGGCUUGCUUGUGCGACACCCAAGUAGCACGGGGCCCGAGAAAUCCCGUGUGAAUCUGGCGGGACCACCCGUUAAGCCUAAAUAUUCCCUGGUGACCGAUAGCGGAUAGUACCGUGAGGGAAUGGUGAAAAGUACCGCGGGAGCGGAGUGAAAUAGUACCUGAAACCGUGUGCCUACAAGCCGUGGGAGCGUCGCUGUAUGUGCUUGCACAUGCAGUCGUGACUGCGUGCCUUUUGAAGAAUGAGCCUGCGAGUUUGCGGUGUGUUGCGAGGUUAACCCGUGUGGGGAAGCCGUAGCGAAAGCGAGUCCGAACAGGGCGAUUCAGUAGCGCGCUCAAGACCCGAAGCGGAGUGAUCUAGCCAUGGGCAGGUUGAAGCGGAGGUAAGACUUCGUGGAGGACCGAACCCACCAGGGUUGAAAACCUGGGGGAUGACCUGUGGUUAGGGGUGAAAGGCCAAUCAAACUCCGUGAUAGCUGGUUCUCCCCGAAAUGCAUUUAGGUGCAGCGUCGUGUGUUUCUUGCCGGAGGUAGAGCACUGGAUAGGCGAUGGGCCCUACCGGGUUACUGACCUUAGCCAAACUCCGAAUGCCGGUAAGUGAGAGCGCGGCAGUGAGACUGUGGGGGAUAAGCUCCAUGGUCGAGAGGGAAACAGCCCAGAGCAUCGACUAAGGCCCCUAAGCGUACGCUAAGUGGGAAAGGAUGUGGAGUCGCAGAGACAACCAGGAGGUUGGCUUAGAAGCAGCCACCCUUGAAAGAGUGCGUAAUAGCUCACUGGUCAAGUGAUUCCGCGCCGACAAUGUAGCGGGGCUCAAGCGUACCGCCGAAGUCGUGUCAUUCGUACAUAUAUCCCCAACGGGAGUACGGAUGGGUAGGGGAGCGUCGUGUGCCGGGUGAAGCCGCCGCGGAAGCGAGUGGUGGACGGUUCACGAGUGAGAAUGCAGGCAUGAGUAGCGAUACACACGUGAGAAACGUGUGCGCCGAUUGACUAAGGGUUCCUGGGUCAAGCUGAUCUGCCCAGGGUAAGUCGGGACCUAAGGCGAGGCCGACAGGCGUAGUCGAUGGACAACCGGUUGAUAUUCCGGUACCCGCUUUGAAACGCCCAGUAUCGAGCCCAUUAAUGCUAAGGCCGUGAAGCCGCCCUGGAGCCUUCGGGCAAAGGGGAGUGGUGGAGCCGCCGGCCCAAGGUGGUAGUAGGUAAGCGAUGGGGUGACGCAGGAAGGUAGUCCAGCCCGGGCGGUGGUUGUCCCGGGGUAAGGGUGUAGGCCGUGUGGCAGGUAAAUCCGUCACACAUUAAGGCUGAGACCUGAUGCCGAGCCGAUUGUGGUGAAGUGGAUGAUCCUAUGCUGUCGAGAAAAGCCUCUAGCGAGUUUCAUGGCGGCCCGUACCCUAAACCGACUCAGGUGGUCAGGUAGAGAAUACCGAGGCGUUCGGGUGAACUAUGGUUAAGGAACUCGGCAAAAUGCCCCCGUAACUUCGGGAGAAGGGGGGCCAUCACUGGUGAUCGGAUUUACUCCGUGAGCUGGGGGUGGCCGCAGAGACCAGCGAGAAGCGACUGUUUACUAAAAACACAGGUCCGUGCGAAGCCGUAAGGCGAUGUAUACGGACUGACGCCUGCCCGGUGCUGGAACGUUAAGGGGACCGGUUAGUCACAUUUCGGUGUGGCGAAGCUGAGAACUUAAGCGCCAGUAAACGGCGGUGGUAACUAUAACCAUCCUAAGGUAGCGAAAUUCCUUGUCGGGUAAGUUCCGACCUGCACGAAUGGCGUAACGACUUCUCGACUGUCUCAACCAUAGGCCCGGUGAAAUUGCACUACGAGUAAAGAUGCUCGUUUCGCGCAGCAGGACGGAAAGACCCCGGGACCUUUACUACAGUUUGAUAUUGGUGUUCGGUUCGGCUUGUGUAGGAUAGGUGGGAGACUGUGAACCCUGGACGCCAGUUCAGGGGGAGUCGCCGUUGAAAUACCACUCUGGUCGUGCUGGAUGUCUAACCUCGGUCCGUGAUCCGGAUCAGGGACAGUGUCUGAUGGGUAGUUUAACUGGGGCGGUUGCCUCCUAAAAUGUAACGGAGGCGCCCAAAGGUUCCCUCAGCCUGGUUGGCAAUCAGGUGUUGAGUGUAAGUGCACAAGGGAGCUUGACUGUGAGACCGACGGGUCGAGCAGGGACGAAAGUCGGGACUAGUGAUCCGGCGGUGGCUUGUGGAAGCGCCGUCGCUCAACGGAUAAAAGGUACCCCGGGGAUAACAGGCUGAUCUUCCCCAAGAGUCCAUAUCGACGGGAUGGUUUGGCACCUCGAUGUCGGCUCGUCGCAUCCUGGGGCUGGAGUCGGUCCCAAGGGUUGGGCUGUUCGCCCAUUAAAGCGGUACGCGAGCUGGGUUUAGAACGUCGUGAGACAGUUCGGUCCCUAUCCGCUGCGCGCGCAGGAGUCUUGAGAAGGGCUGUCCCUAGUACGAGAGGACCGGGACGGACGAACCUCUGGUGUGCCAGUUGUCCUGCCAAGGGCAUGGCUGGUUGGCUACGUUCGGAAAGGAUAACCGCUGAAAGCAUCUAAGCGGGAAGCCUGCUUCGAGAUGAGGACUCCCACCUCCUAGAGAGGGUAAGGCUCCCAGUAGACGACUGGGUUGAUAGGCCAGAUGUGGAAGCCGGGCAACCGGUGAAGCUGACUGGUACUAAUAGGCCGAGGGCUUGUCCUC